rnacentral:rRNA from 1 species
CCUACGGGUGGCUGCAGUGGGGAAUAUUGCUCAAUGGACGAAAGUCUGAACCAGCGACGUAGCGUGAAGGAUGGCUGCCCUCUGGGUGUUAAACUUCUUUUCUAUAGGACUAAGACAGGGUAUGCAUACCCUCUUGUAUGUACCAUAUGAAUACGUAUCGGCUAACUCCGUUCCAGCAGCCGCGCUAAUACGGAGGAUCCGAGUGUUGUCCGGAUUUAUUGGGUUUAGAGUGAGCGUAGGUGGAUUGUUAAGUCAGUUGUGAAAGUUUGCGGCUCAACCGUAACAUUGCAGUUGAACCUGGCAGUCUUGAGUACAGUAGAGGUGAGUGGAAUUCGUGGUGUAGCGGUGAAAUGUGUAGAUAUAACGAAGAACUCCGAUGGCGAAGGCAGCUCACUGGACUGCAACUGACACUGAUGCUCGAAAGUGUGGGUAGCAAACAGGAUUAGAUACCCUAGUAGUC